rnacentral:lncRNA from 1 species
UUUCACAAGGUGGAAGAGAUAUGUAAAUAGCUGUCGCUGGUGAUGUGUGCAUAAUUGAAAGGCAUAAAAUUAUUUUAAAAAGUUAACAGUGAUUAAGUUCUUAGAAAACACUGCAGAGGGAGAAAUAGUUGCAAAUGGCAGCUCCAAGUAUCUCAAAUUUUAACAUGCAAAUAGAACUCCAGGGGAUCUUAUGGAAGUAGACUCUGAUUUAGUAGAUUUGGAAUAGGACCUGAAUAAUUGCGUUUUUUUUUUUUUUUGGUCUUUUUAGGGCCACUCCUAGCCUGGGAACCUCCAUAUGCUGUGGGUGUGGCCCCAGAAAAGACAAAAAGAAAACAAACAAACAAACAAACAAACCCUGCCUCCAAGAAAACCUCCCGAAAGGAAUGUGGACAUUAUGCUUUAAUAUUUGAAAGACAGAUCUGGAGACUACCCUUAGCGGGUUCCUCCUCCCUCCUCUGAAUUUUUCGAUGUUGCUUUUUGCCAUGGCAACAGUAGACUUUUGCCUUUUCCAAUGGAAAAAGCUAGAAGCAGUCCAAAUAAACAAAUACCAGCACCACAAGGAAACAAACCACACCAACCCCAAAUCUCACACUUAAUCACUCAGAAAAUAUCCUUCAUUAAGUUGACAAUGUUCAUGGAGCAUGGAAGUCGCACCCACAGUCUUCUUGCCUUGGUUUGGCUGUCGGACACUAUGAGCGUGGCUUGUUCCUUCUCCUUUUUGUCACCCAUGGCUUUGUAUCCCAGGGUAGAAGGUCAGAAAGAGGCUCAAGGGAAGGUUCUCCUUUGUCCUUCUGAGCCUGAGGGCCCGGUGAGCUUUUCAGAGUGGCGAGAAGGGCCUGGAAGACUACCUCACUGAGGGAUGUUUCCAUGCCUCCCACAAGUUCCUCUUCCUGUGAGUCCAUUUUCAGGAAAGGGCCUGCACAGAAUGUCUGUGUCUGAAGAGAGUUUGUCUAGGAGUCUUGAUGAGGCUUGGAGGGCUGAUGCUGGUGCUGCAGGUCCAGGAGAGGGCAUGUCUCUUAAUUUGCAUGUGCAGGCUGCAGAAUCACCCCUUGCCUGGGCUGUCCCCUGGCAAGGACAGCUUGGGCCCCUGGCCCCACCACUGUGGGGCCUGGGAGGUGCAUGGCUGAGCCAGAUGCUGCAGAGAGUUGUCAAGGCCAGGCUGAAGGGCAUCCUGGAGACUAUGUGCUGCCAUGGUAGUGUGCAGGUUGUUCUGGCAUGCUCCUCCCUGUGAUGGGGGCCAGAGAGCUGUGUGAAUAGGGUAGAGACCACCUCUGGGAAUGGGUCCCAUGGAAGAGUGACUCAGGACAGUUCCCAGAGGUAGGGUUUUCUCUUCCCUGCAGAGCCAGCCUGGGCUGGACCAGCAUAAACAUCAAUGGCUGGCCCCACAGCCCCCAGAGGGAACCCAGGCACAAAGAAGGCAAGGGAUAAAGGAGGAGCACCUUUGGCAAAGAAUGCAUGCCCUCAGGUGGAUCCGAGGGAGGAAAAGGAUGAGAGCCUUGUGGGGAGUGGAAGGAGGCUUUGGUUCAAGGGAGCCGUCAGGGCUGGUCUGGUAUCAGGGUCUCCUGUCAGGACAUCCACAAGCCUACCUGUGCUCUGCUCUGGGUGCCAAGCUCUUUGGUUCUGAAACCAUAUAUAGGAGGAGUUCUUAUUGUGGUGCAGUGGGAAUGAAUCUGACUAGCAUCCAUGAGGACACAGGUUAGAUCCCUGGCCUUACUCAGUGGGUCGGGGAUCCAGCAUUGCCGUGAGCUGUGG